rnacentral:misc_RNA from 1 species
GAUGAAGAACGGAGCGAAAUGCGAUAAGUAGUGUGAAUUGCAGAAUUCAGUGAAUCAUCGAAUCUUUGAACGCACAUUGCGCCCGCCAGUAUUCUGGCGGGCAUGCCUGUUCGAGCGUCAUUACAACCCUCAGGCCCCCGGGCCUGGCGUUGGGGAUCGGCGGAGCCCCCCGUGGGCACACGCCGUCCCCCAAAUACAGUGGCGGUCCCGCCGCAGCUUCCAUCGCGUAGUAGCUAACACCUCGCGACUGGAGAGCGGCGCGGCCACGCCGUAAAACACCCAACUCUUCUGAAGUUGACCUCGAAUCAGGUAGGAAUACCCGCUGAACUUAAGCAUAUCAAAAGCGGAGGA